AUUGAACGCUAGCGGGAUGCUUUACACAUGCAAGUCGAACUAGUGGCGUACGUGUGAGUAAUAUAUCGGCACGUUCCCAGUAUCGGGGGAUAACUACUCGAAAGUGUGGCUAUUCCCUCAUACUCUUGCAUCGGCCGUUAUCGGAUUAGCUAGUUGGUGGGGUAAAGGCUCACCAAGGCAACGAUCCGUAGCUGGUGUGAGAGGACGACCAGGCACACUGGGACUGAGAAACGGACCAGACUCAUACGGGAGGCAGCAGUGGGGAAUUGUGGACAAUGGGGGAAACCCUGAUCCAGCCAUCCCGCGUGUAUGAGAAGGCCUUCGGGUUGUAAAGUACUUUUGGCAGAGAAGCGGUAGCUGAAGAAGAAGCACCGGCUAACUACGUGCCAGCAGCCGCGGUAAUUG
rnacentral:rRNA from 1 species